rnacentral:rRNA from 1 species
UACAUGGGGUGCAAACGUUGCUCGGAAUUAUUGGGCGUAAAGCGCACGUAGGCGGUUUGUUAAGUCGGAUGUGAAAUCCCUCGGCUCAACUGAGGAAGUGCAUCCGAAACUGGCAAGCUUGAGUACGAAAGAGGGUCGCGGAAUUCCCGGUGUAGAGGUGAAAUUCGUAGAUAUCGGGAGGAACACCGGUGGCGAAGGCGGCGACCUGGGUCAAUACUGACGCUGAGGUGCGAAAGCGUGGGGAGCAAACAGG